GGUUAAGCGACUAAGCGUACACGGUGGAUGCCCUGGCAGUCAGAGGCGAUGAAGGACGUGCUAAUCUGCGAUAAGCGUCGGUGAGGUGAUAUGAACCGUUAUAACCGGCGAUUUCCGAAUGGGGAAACCCAGUGUGUUUCGACACACUAUCAUUAACUGAAUCCAUAGGUUAAUGAGGCGAACCGGGGGAACUGAAACAUCUAAGUACCCCGAGGAAAAGAAAUCAACCGAGAUUCCCCCAGUAGCGGCGAGCGAACGGGGAGGAGCCCAGAGCCUGAAUCAGUGUGUGUGUUAGUGGAAGCGUCUGGAAAGGCGUGCGAUACAGGGUGACAGCCCCGUACACAAAAAUGCACAUAUUGUGAGCUCGAUGAGUAGGGCGGGACACGUGGUAUCCUGUCUGAAUAUGGGGGGACCAUCCUCCAAGGCUAAAUACUCCUGACUGACCGAUAGUGAACCAGUACCGUGAGGGAAAGGCGAAAAGAACCCCGGCGAGGGGAGUGAAAAAGAACCUGAAACCGUGUACGUACAAGCAGUGGGAGCCUCUUAAUGGGGUGACUGCGUACCUUUUGUAUAAUGGGUCAGCGACUUAUAUUCUGUAGCAAGGUUAACCGAAUAGGGGAGCCGAAGGGAAACCGAGUCUUAACUGGGCGUUAAGUUGCAGGGUAUAGACCCGAAACCCGGUGAUCUAGCCAUGGGCAGGUUGAAGGUUGGGUAACACUAACUGGAGGACCGAACCGACUAAUGUUGAAAAAUUAGCGGAUGACUUGUGGCUGGGGGUGAAAGGCCAAUCAAACCGGGAGAUAGCUGGUUCUCCCCGAAAGCUAUUUAGGUAGCGCCUCGUGAAUUCAUCUCCGGGGGUAGAGCACUGUUUCGGCAAGGGGGUCAUCCCGACUUACCAACCCGAUGCAAACUGCGAAUACCGGAGAAUGUUAUCACGGGAGACACACGGCGGGUGCUAACGUCCGUCGUGAAGAGGGAAACAACCCAGACCGCCAGCUAAGGUCCCAAAGUCAUGGUUAAGUGGGAAACGAUGUGGGAAGGCCCAGACAGCCAGGAUGUUGGCUUAGAAGCAGCCAUCAUUUAAAGAAAGCGUAAUAGCUCACUGGUCGAGUCGGCCUGCGCGGAAGAUGUAACGGGGCUAAACCAUGCACCGAAGCUGCGGCAGCGACACUAUGUGUUGUUGGGUAGGGGAGCGUUCUGUAAGCCUGUGAAGGUGGCCUGUGAGGGUUGCUGGAGGUAUCAGAAGUGCGAAUGCUGACAUAAGUAACGAUAAAGCGGGUGAAAAGCCCGCUCGCCGGAAGACCAAGGGUUCCUGUCCAACGUUAAUCGGGGCAGGGUGAGUCGACCCCUAAGGCGAGGCCGAAAGGCGUAGUCGAUGGGAAACAGGUUAAUAUUCCUGUACUUGGUGUUACUGCGAAGGGGGGACGGAGAAGGCUAUGUUGGCCGGGCGACGGUUGUCCCGGUUUAAGCGUGUAGGCUGGUUUUCCAGGCAAAUCCGGAAAACCAAGGCUGAGGCGUGAUGACGAGGCACUACGGUGCUGAAGCGACAAAUGCCCUGCUUCCAGGAAAAGCCUCUAAGCAUCAGGUAACAUCAAAUCGUACCCCAAACCGACACAGGUGGUCAGGUAGAGAAUACCAAGGCGCUUGAGAGAACUCGGGUGAAGGAACUAGGCAAAAUGGUGCCGUAACUUCGGGAGAAGGCACGCUGAUAUGUAGGUGAAGCGACUUGCUCGUGGAGCUGAAAUCAGUCGAAGAUACCAGCUGGCUGCAACUGUUUAUUAAAAACACAGCACUGUGCAAACACGAAAGUGGACGUAUACGGUGUGACGCCUGCCCGGUGCCGGAAGGUUAAUUGAUGGGGUUAGCGGUAACGCGAAGCUCUUGAUCGAAGCCCCGGUAAACGGCGGCCGUAACUAUAACGGUCCUAAGGUAGCGAAAUUCCUUGUCGGGUAAGUUCCGACCUGCACGAAUGGCGUAAUGAUGGCCAGGCUGUCUCCACCCGAGACUCAGUGAAAUUGAACUCGCUGUGAAGAUGCAGUGUACCCGCGGCAAGACGGAAAGACCCCGUGAACCUUUACUAUAGCUUGACACUGAACAUUGAGCCUUGAUGUGUAGGAUAGGUGGGAGGCUUUGAAGUGUGGACGCCAGUCUGCAUGGAGCCGACCUUGAAAUACCACCCUUUAAUGUUUGAUGUUCUAACGUUGGCCCGUAAUCCGGGUUGCGGACAGUGUCUGGUGGGUAGUUUGACUGGGGCGGUCUCCUCCUAAAGAGUAACGGAGGAGCACGAAGGUUGGCUAAUCCUGGUCGGACAUCAGGAGGUUAGUGCAAUGGCAUAAGCCAGCUUGACUGCGAGCGUGACGGCGCGAGCAGGUGCGAAAGCAGGUCAUAGUGAUCCGGUGGUUCUGAAUGGAAGGGCCAUCGCUCAACGGAUAAAAGGUACUCCGGGGAUAACAGGCUGAUACCGCCCAAGAGUUCAUAUCGACGGCGGUGUUUGGCACCUCGAUGUCGGCUCAUCACAUCCUGGGGCUGAAGUAGGUCCCAAGGGUAUGGCUGUUCGCCAUUUAAAGUGGUACGCGAGCUGGGUUUAGAACGUCGUGAGACAGUUCGGUCCCUAUCUGCCGUGGGCGCUGGAGAACUGAGGGGGGCUGCUCCUAGUACGAGAGGACCGGAGUGGACGCAUCACUGGUGUUCGGGUUGUCAUGCCAAUGGCACUGCCCGGUAGCUAAAUGCGGAAGAGAUAAGUGCUGAAAGCAUCUAAGCACGAAACUUGCCCCGAGAUG
rnacentral:rRNA from 1 species